GGACUACACGGGUAUCUAAUCCUGUUUGAUCCCCACGCUUUCGUGCCUCAGCGUCAAUCACACUUUAGUAAGCUGCCUUCGCAAUUGGUGUUCUGUGACAUAUCUAUGCAUUUCACCGCUACUUGUCACAUUCCGCCUACCUCAAGUGUAUUCAAGCUCAUCAGUAUCAAGGGCACUGCGAUAGUUAAGCUACCGUCUUUCACCCCUGACUUAAUAAGCCGCCUACGCACCCUUUAAACCCAAUAAAUCCGGAUAACGCUUGGAUCCUCCGUAUUACCGCGGCUGCUGGCAC
rnacentral:rRNA from 1 species